CCCUCCCACCUCAGCUUGCAGCUGUAGUUAAAGCAGUUUGGAGGCUUUUCCUCCAAACACCUUGUGACCAUUGGGAAGUUUCAGAGAAUGGGAAGAGGAGGAGUCAUUGCUUGCAGAAGUGCUCUCCACUUUUAGAAUGGACAACUUCUGAAGAGAUGAGACAAAACUGAGGGCACAAAGACCUCCUUGAGGUCUUCAAAAAAUGACCUUUGAGCAGAAUAAAGGGAAUGAAGUGAAUGGAGAAGUGAGACACAUGACCAUGGAGGAAGAAAAUUCCAGGCAGGGGCUCUGGAAGAGGAAUGUACUUAGCCACAGAAGGAGCAGCAAGAGGGUGCCUGUGGCUGGAGCCCACCACGUGGCCAGAUCAUUUAGCUUCCUUAGGCCACUGUAGGGACUGGAUUUUAUUCUAAUUGCAAGGGGAAGUCAUUGGAGGGCUUUGAAAAGGACACAUGAUUUGGUUUACAUCUCAGAAGUGGCAUCCUGUCUGCUGUGUGGAGACUACAGGGAGUCACUGAGGGAAAAGAGCAUUUUUUGAGACUAUUGCAAUAGUUCAGGGAAGAGAAAAGGGCUUGGUCUAAGGCAUCUACAGUGACAGAACUGACCUAUAGAUUGAUGUUGUGUUGGAGAGAAAGCAACUGAAAAUGAACUCAACUGGAGGCUGGCAGGGGCAGAUGGGGGCUGAGCCACCAAGUGAAUGGUAGUUCCAUUUCCUAAGAAGGAGAACACUUAGGGAGGAACAGGCUUGGAGGAGGAAACAAAACAUUCUUAGGGAGGAUAUUAAUUUCAAGAAGUCUAUUGGACCUCAAUGAAGAGAGGUCAAGUAGGCAAUUUAGUGGUUGACCACAGAGUUCAGAAGAGAGGUUUGAGUAGAGGUAUCAAACUGGAAGUCAGCAUAUCGACGGUCUUUAAAGCCAUGAGCUUUAGUGAAAUUCCCUCGAGGAGAAAGGACAGAGAAGAGGUCUGAAAACUGAUUCCUAGGUCAUUUUGCCAUUUAGAGGUAAGAGGAGGAGGAACAUCCACCAAAGAAGUGACCAGUGAAGAAGGGAAGAAACUAGAAGAGUGUAGUGUUCUUCCAGAUGGAGGAAAUGAUGUGAUUGGUCCAAUGCAAGGUCAAUUAAGAUGGAGACUGAAAAUUGAUCAUCAGAUCCGGUCAGGUAGAGCCCACCUAUGAUGAGGACUAGCGUGAAGACCCUGAAGGGACUGGGCCAAAAGUCUGAUUGAAAUAAGUUCAGUAAAGAGAGGGAGACCAACAAUUUGAUACAGUGCAUAGAGACAACUUUCUCAAGAUUUUCUUUAGCAGAGAGUGGAAAAAUGCAAGCAUUGCUGCAAAAAGAUGUGGGAAAGAGGCAAUUUUCUUCUUUGAAUAGAAGGCAUUAGGUAAGAAAGGAAAAACAAAAGAUGUUUCAAGAGACAGAAAUCGCAGGAGCAAAGACCUUGGCUGGGCCAGGGAGAUGAAAUCCCAUGCACAAGCAGAGUGGUUGGCUCAAAUAGCUCUUAGCUGGCUCACCCACUGUAACAGGAAGGAAGGCAGAGGAUUUGGGUACAAGUGGGUAGAUUUAAUAGUAGCAGUAGGUAGUAGGAAGUUCUUUUUAGAGAGCUGCUAUUUUCUCAGAUGAAAUUAAGAGAAAUAUCAUUAACUGAGGCUGAUGAGACAGGAAGAAAAUUUUGCAGAUUUGAGGACAAGGAAGGUGUGAAAGAGACCUCUCCGAAGUACUUGAGUGGACUGCCCAGGAAAAUAGAAUCAUUAUACAGUAAGAAGUGGAGGCUGACAUUUGUGGUCAUGAACUUCAAGCAAAACAGCCCCCACAGUGGUGGUUUUUUCCCUCCCAUGUUCAUCUGCUGUAAUUCAAGGGCAGAGUCAAUGACAUGGAGAUGUAGCCUGAUUUGAGAUUUCCCAGGAGUUCCGGACAGAGCGAGAGAGGAAUAGAGAGAUGAGAAUGUCUGCAUGAAUCAUGGUGGAAACUCACCAAUAAGGAAGAAAAUGUGGAUGAUGGACUAUGAAAAGACGCUCGUUACAAAGAUAUAAAAUUACAGAACAGAACAACAGGAAAGAUUCUCAGACAGUAACAUCAGACAUGUCAAAUAAGAUCACAGACAUUCUCUUUUAAGAUACCUUCAAAAGAAGUUCAUCCUCUCCUAAUACUAGCCUAGCAAUGGAGCAAGGUGGUGGCAAAGCCAUGGAUGAGAAAAUCUCAAUUUUUUUUCUCCAUCAUAUUUAGUUAGCUGAGAACAGCACAAGAAUGAUAAAUGCAACAGGAAAAAUAAUCUUCUCUAAUUUAAGAUCAGAAAUAGUAGAACCUGGGAAGGGUCAUCUGAUUAGAGAUCAAAUACUUCAAAAAAUAAUUGUCAUUUGUUUUUUAAUGUAUCCCUCUUUUGCUUGUUACUUGAAUGUGUACUUGAAUUUGAAUAUUGACUACAAAUAUGAAAUUGAAUAUUGAACAUAUAUCGUUACUCCAAUAUUUUGUUUACUGGGACUCGGAUAUAAUCAAAAACAUUAACCUGCUUGCUUACCAUUCUUCUCUUUAAAAAUACAAGCUCAUUUUUACCUGGCAAUUACUACUUGUACAAACAUUUCAAAAGUCAUUUCUCUGGCUUUUCAGUAAAAAUACAAAGAUUAAAAAUUCAUAAAAAUAGAUGCACAUAAAAAUAAAGAAAACAUCUUCUAAAUUGCCCAGGUUGACUUUAAAAUCUAGUUAGUUAACCAAAGGAAUGUACCAGGGUCAUGAGGAGGACAAAUGCUCCUUUGUGUUUUAGCUGGAGAAAACAAUCUGCAGUUGACCUUUGAACAGCAUGGGUUGGAUCUGUGCAGGUCCAUGUGUAGCAGAUUUUUAUCAACCAAAUGUGGAUUGAAAAUACAGUAUUCAAGGGAGGCACAACUAGCAAACAUGAAGGGCCAACUUUUCACAUACAUGGUUCCGCAGGGCCAACUGUGGGACUUGAGUACCCAUGGAUUUUGGUAUCCAUGGGGGUCCUGGAACCAAUCUUCCCCCCCAUACUGAGGGAUGAGAGUAUGUCCCUAAAUACUUACAACCUUCUUAUAACUCAUGUGAUAGCUUCUGUUAGUCUUGCUGUUUCCUUUCUGUUCCACCCACUUCUCAGUAGUUUCUUUACUUUUACAAAGAAAUUAUAAGGGUUUAUGUGGGAAUUCUCAAGAUUACUGAGUCAGAACUGAGCAUGACAUGCUUCUGUUCUGUUCCAGAAUCUUCUCUUUCUCCAGAUGGCAUUUAAAAAAAAAAAGAUUACUGAGUUAGAUUCUACCCAUUUCCUUAUUUGGCUGUUCUGGAUUUUAAAGUUUCUUUGAUUUUUUAAACAAACUUUUGCUUAUUUCUGUAGGCAAGGAGGAAAGAGAUCUUCCAUGAUGCAGUUGCAAUCCGCCAUCUUAACCCCCCCAUCCUAACCCCCAAUAGAGUCUACUCGUUUUCUUUACACAUAUGGUAGCAGAAAAGACAGCUUGGUGUGCUCUAUGGCAAGGCACCUGUGACAGCUGACCCUGCAGUCCUGUGACAUCCAUCCAGCCACUCUUGGCUACAAGACCAGUGUUCCCAUUCUCCCUCAUCCUGGUGAGAAGUUCUUGAAGGAAGAUGAUCCUCUUCCAGUGCAAACAUGUCACACACCCACUGCCCUGUACCUUUUGAAAGUUCACCUGUAUCUUUAAUGGAACCAAGAACACAAAAAAGAGUAAGCGUCUUCUGUUGUAACUCUAAAUGCAGUCUCUCCAGUGCAUUUAAAACUCAUUACAGUAGCAUCUCAUGUAUUUUUUCUAUCAACUGCUGUUUAAAUAUUUUUUAUUCUCAAUGUCUUUUACAUGAUGUUCGAUUUUUUUAAAUUUUUCAUAUGACCGGAUCCAUCCAUUUCUUCACAAUAUUUGCUUUUAUUUAUAUUCUGAGUCUUGUUGCAUUGGCCUGAAUUUCAAAAACAUUAAAAAUAAUGAUUAUUUUGAGUA